rnacentral:lncRNA from 1 species
AUUUUGGGCUUUUGCAAAACCGGGUCAUCUUUUUCGUUUUUGCAGAUUCAGUCCGCUUUUUCAGCAAACUGGGCGGAAACGGUCCGUCUCGCUUCUCGCCCUCGCCUUUGCCCUUGCCCUCGUCCACGCACCCCCCACCUUCUUCGCCUCCAAUCCCGCCAAGACCGCGCCGCGACUUUUUUUUUUUUUUACUUUUUUCUUUUCUUUUCUUCUCCGACUCUUCUCCACCGUCUCCGACGACGACGCCUCUCUCGUCUUUCCCCGCCCUUCUCAUCUCUCCCUCUCCUUCAUUCUCUGCCGCCUCCGACGACGAUGCAUCUUCGCCG